GAAAAGAAACCAACAGGGAUUGCCUCAGUAACGGCGAGUGAAGCGGCAACAGCUCAAAUUUGAAAUCUGGCCCCAGGCCCGAGUUGUAAUUUGCAGAGGAUGCUUUUGGUGAGGUGCCUUCCGAGUUCCCUGGAACGGGACGCCAUAGAGGGUGAGAGCCCCGUCUGGUCGGACACCGAGCCUCUGUAAAGCUCCUUCGACGAGUCGAGUAGUUUGGGAAUGCUGCUCAAAAUGGGAGGUAUAUGUCUUCUAAAGCUAAAUACCGGCCAGAGACCGAUAGCGCACAAGUAGAGUGAUCGAAAGAUGAAAAGCACUUUGAAAAGAGAGUUAAAUAGCACGUGAAAUUGUUGAAAGGGAAGCGUUUAUGACCAGACUUGGCCCGGUUGAUCAUCCAGCGUUCUCGCUGGUGCACUCUGCCGGUCCAGGCCAGCAUCAGUUCGUCGCGGGGGAUAAAGGUUUCAGGAAUGUGGCUCCUCCGGGAGUGUUAUAGCCUGUUGCGUAAUACCCUGUGGUGGACUGAGGUCCGCGCUUCUGCAAGGAUGCUGGCGUAAUGGUCAUCAACGACCC
rnacentral:rRNA from 1 species